rnacentral:lncRNA from 1 species
CUACCGGCGAUAGUGAGAUUGAUAGCUUUUUGAAAAACAAAUAAUACUAAUAAUACUAAUAAUAAUAAUAAUAAAAUUAAAAAGAAAAAAAUAAUAAUAAGAAAAUGGGGGAUGAAGGGCACUAGGAAUGGCGUCGGCUUGGAGUUGAGUGGCAGUGUGUGGGGAGUUGGGGAGGAAAAAUGGAGAAAAAAAAAAGAAAAGGAAAAAAGAAAAAUAAAAAUGGGCGCCGGCGUUUGUGAAGAAAAAAAUGGAGAAAAUGGGGAGAAGAAAAUAAAAAGAAGUGAAUCGGGGGCGC